rnacentral:rRNA from 1 species
CAGCCGCCGCGGUAAUACGAAGGGGGCUAGCGUUGUUCGGAUUUACUGGGCGUAAAGCGCACGUAGGCGGAUUUUUAAGUCAGGGGUGAAAUCCCAAGGCUCAACCUUGGAACUGCCUUUGAUACUGGGGAUCUUGAGUCCGGGAGAGGUGAGUGGAACUGCGAGUGUAGAGGUGAAAUUCGUAGAUAUUCGCAAGAACACCAGUGGCGAAGGCGGCUCACUGGCCCGGAACUGACGCUGAGGUGCGAAAGCGUGGGGAGCAAACAGGAUUAGAUACCCCUGUAGUCCCUGUCUCUUAUAC